GACGAACGCUGGCGGCGUGCUUAACACAUGCAAGUCGAACGGAAAGGCCUGCUUUCCCUUGUGGAUUGCGGGUACUCGAGUGGCGAACGGGUGAGUAACACGUGAGUGAUCUGCCCCCAACUUGGGUAUAAGCCAGGGUAACUGGGUCUAAUUCACGUUAGGACUGCAGGGUGGUGGCUGUGGUGGAAAACGAUUUUCUAGUGGUUGGGGAUGAGCUCGCGGCCUAUCAGCUUGUUGGUGGGGUAAUGGCCUACCAAGGCGGCGACGGGUAGCCGGCCGGGGAGGGUGGACGGCCACAUUGGGACUGAGAUACGGCCCAGACGCCUACGGGAGGCAGCAGUGGGGAAUAUUGCACAAUGGGCGGAAGCCUGAUGCAGCGACGCCGCGUGGGGGAUGACGGCCUUCGGGUGGUAAACUCCUUUCGACCGCGAGGAAGCCACCUGGUUGGAAGGGUGGUGACGGUAGUGGUAGAAGAAGCACCGGCUAACUACGUG
rnacentral:rRNA from 1 species